ensembl:lncRNA
GUUUAACUUCAGUAUCUACAAAUAUAAACACUAUCGGUGGCAGAAACGAAUUUUGCAGAUUGAUUUCAACACAAAGACCAUUUUUAACAUUGAGAAAGGAAUUAUUAAGAAACAGUUCCCUUUCUCACAAGUCAAAGCCUGUGAAGAUACUGAAAGGAGGCGCUUCAGCAUUGUGUUUCAUGGGCGACAAGAUUAUGAGCUGGAAGCAGUGUCUCUUGAUGAUAAAAGGAAGAUAAUGUACCUUCUGAGCAGAGUUAUACAGAGCAAUUCAUACAAGAGACCAGCAGAGUCCUGCUCUGGAAGACCUGCAGAAUGUGAUGUGAUACAUGAAGGACUGCUGGAUUUGCAGCAAAACACUUUUACAUCCACUGAAUGGGUGAAGUACUUGGUACAACUACGCGAAGGAGAAUUGACUUUAUAUUGCAUAGGUCUGGGAGGAAAGAACAAGACUGCAGAUCCUGUAACAAACACAAUUAAUUUGUCAGGUGGUAAUGUGAGUGUCAGCAAGGAGAAUGGAUGCAGUACCUUCUCAGUUCAGACCAAAGAACACAAUUAUUUGUUUCGAAUACCCUUUACUGUCCAAAAGAACAGUACAGAGGAUUUUAGCAAGCUCCAGAAUGAAUGGGUGUCCCUCAUAGAAAGAAAGAGGAGACACUCCACUUUGGUGUGAGUUCUGCAACAACCAGUUUGAAGAAAUCUUCAAGCCCCCAGCCUGCAGAGGACGAUGCAGCCCCAGCAUCACCAUCUCUUCCACUUCCCAUAAGAAAGGCAGAGGUACCACCAGCCCCCCCUGCAUUGCCGCCGCCCUGCAGCCUCUCUCCAUCGACAAAGAGAACCAAAGCCUUUCACUGGGAUGUUGUUCCUUGUGACAAGGUGAGGAUGAAACUGA